UACGGAGGGGGCUAGCGUUGUUCGGAAUUACUGGGCGUAAAGCGCACGUAGGCGGCUUGGUAAGUUAGAGGUGAAAGCCUGGAGCUCAACUCCAGAAUUGCAUUUAAGACUGCCGAGCUAGCAGGUGAGAGAGGUGAGUGGAAUUCCGAGUGUAGAGGUGAAAUUCGUAGAUAUUCGGAAGAACACCAAUGGCGAAGGCGGCUCUCUGGCUCAUACUGGACGCUGAGGUGCGAAAGCGUGGGUAGCAAACAGG
rnacentral:rRNA from 1 species